rnacentral:rRNA from 1 species
UACGUAGGGGGCAAGCGUUGUCCGGAUUUACUGGGCGUAAAGCGCGCGCAGGCGGCAGGUUAAGUAAGGUGUGAAAUCUCCCUGCUCAACGGGGAGGGUGCACUUUAGACUGACCAGCUAGAGGGCGGUAGAGGGUGGUGGAAUUGCUGGUGUAGCGGUGAAAUGCGUAGAUAUACGGAGGAACACCAGAGGCGAAGGCGGAUCGCUGGGCCAACACUGACGCUGAGACGCGAAAGCUAGGGGAGCAAACGGG